GAGAGAACCAAGAGCUGGCAAAGUCUACUCUGGAUAUGGACAUGUAAACUUGAUUCUAGAAGUUUGUUGACCCAGAGGACUUACCCACAACUUUAAUCUUGAUGCUUGCAUGUGCUUCCCCGGCUUCAUUUUUCAGAUUUAUGUGGUAAACACCAGAGUCAUCUCUUUCAGCGACGUCAAUAACCAGAGUGCUGCUGUCAGGGUAAGAUUCUGCUCUUAUCCGGCCACUGCCCUCCAUAAUAGCCUAAGGAGGAGAGAAACAAAAUACGGCAUGACCUAUAUGACAAGGACUAUUCCAAAGUACCUUAGAACUUAAGCUGGAUGUGGUGCUAAGGCCUAAAAUACAUGUUCUUAAUGUAAUCCUCCACCAACCCUAAAGAUAAAGGUGUUAACAUCCCAUAUUACAGGAGAAAGCUGUGGCUCAGGGCCACAUGGCUAACAAUGAGAAGAACUGGGAUUUGUCUCCAAAGCCCACUAAGCACGAACCCACCAAAGAGAAAGCUGGAGGACUAAAAAUAGGAGUGCAGAAGUGUUAUUUUAGUAGAGGAGUCUCUUUGUACAUGAAAUUAAAUAUUUAAGAACUAAUCAUGACUUGCUUAUUUAUGUGUCUUGAAAAUUUAGAAAUACUGAAAAGGGUUGAAGAAGACCACAAUGCCAGUUUUCCUUACAAGUUAUUGAGUAUUGAUUUUUCCCUUCUAAUAGGACAGAAUGAAUGAAUGAAUAUCUAAUUCCCAAAGUAAAGACAGAGUGAGGUUGGGCCUUCCAUUAUAUUUUCUUUCUUUAUUUUCUCUUUCUCCUCCUCUUCAUCCUUUUCCUCCUUUUUCUCCUUUUCUUCUACCUCACUUCUUUCCUUCUUUCUUUCUUAAACCAGAAAUUUGAAGUAGCAUUCCAUUUUUCUGAUUCCUAGGUCAUAUUUCCUAUAUGACAAUGAAUAGCCAGCAUACAAAGAGAAAAAACAGAGAAGGUCAAGGUAAUUUAGAAACUGGGUAAUUUUCUUAUAACUAUUAAAUUAACUCUUUACUUUUUUGUGUCUGGAUUAGGACUCAUAAGUCUUCAAUAACAUAAGAUUGUGAGAACAAUAAGAAUACCUGAGAUAGUUUUCAUUCUUCUGUUUUAUAAUAGAACAAAAUUUUCUCAUAUUAGCCAAAUUCAAAUCUUAAGAUUGUAAAAGAUUUUCUGCUUUAUUUUUAAUGUGAAAAGAAAAUACUUAGGGUGGUGUUGCAUUACCUUCUUUAGUUUUCUAUAUUUUGUUUGCUUGUCUGUUGUGCUAUAUAAUUUACAUAGAGUAAAAUUCACACUUUUUAUACAUAGAGUUCUGUGAAUUCUGACAAAUUUGUGUGAUUGUGUAACUACCACCACCACAAUCAAGAUACAUACCAUUUCCAUGAUCCCCAACAGUGUCCCCAUGUUCCUUCACUGUCAACUCAUUCACCCCUACACUCUGGUCCCUGGCAACCACCAAUCUGUUAUUUCUCUCUCUAGUUUUCCUUUUUCCAGAAUGUUCAUAUAACAGACUCAAACAGUAUGUAGCCUUUUGGAUCUGUCUUCUUUCACUCAGUAUGAUGCUGUUUAGAUUCAACCAUGUUGCUACAUGUAUUACUAGUACCUUCUGUUUUACUGCUGAGUAGUAUUCUAUUGUAUAUUCCAUGUGCAGUUGGGUUAUGCAUGUACAAACUGUAUGUUUGUACAAUUGGGCUUUUGGGUUGUUUCCAAGUUUUGACAAUUAUAAAUAAAGCUGUUAUAAACAUUUAUGUACAAGUUUUUGUGUGGACAUAUGUCUUCAUUUCUCUAGGGUAGAUAGCUAGGAAUUUCACUAUAGGAUUGUAUGGUAAAGUGCAUGUUUAACUUUAUAAAAAAAAAACUACCAAACUGUUUUCCAAAGUGGGUGGACCAUUUUGCAUUCCUACCAGUGAUGUAUGAGAGUUUGAUUGUUCCAUAUCCUUGUAUUUGGUAUUAGCAGUUUUUUAAAAUAAUUGUUGUUGUUGUUGUUGUUGAGCUUCUUUCAUUCAGCAUAAUUAUUCAUCCAAGUCGUUGCAUACAUCAGUAAUUCAUUCCUCUUUACUGUUAGUAGUAUUCCUUUAAUCCUUUUACAUUUGUUGAGACUUACUUAUGGUCUAUCUUAGACAUUUUCCAUACGCAAUUAAUUUUUUUUUAAUGUUUAUUAUUUUGAGAGAGACAGAGAGGCAGGGAGAGGGAACAAGCUGGGGAGGGGGAGAGUGAGAGGGAGACACAGAAUCAGAAGGAGGCUCCAGACUCUGAGCUGUCAGCACAAAGCCCCGUGAACUCACAAACUUGAGAUCAUGACCUGAGGCGAAGUCGGACGCUUGACCAACUGAACCAUACAGUCGCUCCUCCAUAUGCAAUUUUAAAAUAAUGCUCAUUCUGGGGGCGCCUGGGUGGCUGAGUUGGUCAAGCGUCCGACUUCAGCUCAGGUCAUGAUCUCAUAGUCUGUGAGUUCAAGCCCUGCAUCAGGCUCUGUGCUGCCAGCUCAGAGCCUAGAGCCUGCUUUAGAUUCUGUGUCUCCCUCUCCCUCUGCCCCUCCCCUGCUCAUGCUCUCUCUCUGUCUCAAAAAUAAAUAAAAGCAUUAAAAAAAUAUAUAAAAUAAUGCCCAUUCUGUAUGUGUCAUUGGAGUAUUCUGUAAAUGUCAAUUAGAUCAAGAUGGUUGCCAGUAUUGUUCACAUCUUAAAUAUCCUUACUGAUGGUCUGUCUUCUUGUUUUAGCAACUACUAAGAGAAGAGUAUUGAAAUCUCUAAUUUAUCUGUUUUUCUAUUGCAAUUUUUCUAUUGCAAUUCUAUUAUCUUGCUAUUUGUUUUCUACUUGCCCUGUUCUUUGUGCCUCUUUUUCUGCCUUCUUUUAGAUUAAUUAAAUAUUUUUUGUGAUUUCAUAUUAUAUCCUUUGUUGGUUUAUUAGCUAUAACUUUUUGUUCAUUAUUUUAGUGGUUCCUUUAGGGUUUAUGGUAUACAUCUUUAACUUUUCACAGUCUACUUUCAUGCGAUAUUACAACAAUACCUCCCUUUUCACCCUCCUAAUUCUUACUUUCCAUUCUUCUUUUUUUUUCUUGACCUUAUGUUUUUAUUGUCAUAAAUUUUACUUACAGUACAAACAACACAGUAUAUUAUUAUUAUUUUUUUAAACAGUCAAUUAUCUUUUAAAGAGAUUGAAAUAAUACAAAAAAACUCUUAUGUUUAUCCACACGGUUAUCAUUUCUGAUGCUCUUUGUUCCUUUGUGAAAAUGAUUCAACCUGACAUUAUUUUCCUUAUGACUUAAGGACUUCUUUUAGCAUUUCUUGUGGUGCAGGUCUGCCAGUGAUUAUUUCUUUCAGCUUUUAUAUAUCUGAAAAUAAUUUUAUUUUGCCUUUGUUUCUGAAAUUUUUACUCAGUAUAGAAUUCUAGGUUGAUAUAUUUUUUUAGGAUUUAUAGAAUUUUUUAGAAUUCAUAGUAUUCUAGGUUGACAGUUUUUUCUUUAAAGAUGUUGCCUCACUGUCCUCUCACUUGCCUUGCUUCCAGAGAGAUCUGCUGUCACUCUUUUCUUUAUUUCUGUAUAUUUAAUGUGACUUUUUUCCCUGUCUACUUAAAAACAUUUUUUUUUGUUAAUCAUAGGGUUUGAUCAAUUUGAUUUUAAUGGGUCUUGGUGUGGUUUUUUUCUUUUUUUCUUUAUAUUUUUUAUUUUUGUUAUUUAUUUAUUUAAUAUAAUUUAUUAUCAAGUUGGUGUGGUUUUAUUAAUGCUCUUUGUGCUUAGAUUUUAUUGAGCUUCUUAUAUCUGCAAUUUUAGUUUUUAUCAAAUUUGGAAAAUUUUAGCUCUAAUUUCUUUACAUAUUCUUCUGUCCUUCUCUUUGGGGACUCUAAUUACACAUACAUUUCACUGUUUCAAGUUGCUCCAAAGCUUAACGAUGCUCUUUGGUUUUUUCCUCCAGAAAACAGAAAAGGAAAAAACACUCUUCAACUCUUUUUUUUAAUUAAUAAAUUAUUUUGGGGGUCAGAUUUAGACUCACUGCAAAAUUGUGGAAAGUACAGAGAGUUCUCAUAUAAUCCCUCCCCCACACAAACCAACCUCCUCCACAACUGACAUCCCACAUCAGAGCAGUAUAUUUCUUAUAAUCAAUGAGCCUACACUGACACAUCAUUAUCAUUCAAAGUCUAUAGUUUACAUUAGGGUUCACUCUUAUGUUGUACAUCUGUGAGUUUUGCCAAGUCUAUAAUGACAUAUGUCCAUAAUUAUAAUAUCAUACGGAAUAGUUUUACUGCCCAUAACACAUUUUAUUUUAGGAGCCACAGAAUGACACUUGAGCUAGUACUAGUCUACCACCCAAUCUUAUUUAUUAUUUUCCUCCUUAUUCACUCUGACCCAGUCACACUGGCUUUUCUUCUGUUCCUUCAACACAUCAAGCUCAUUUUUUCCUCUCUUCUUGUCCUUUGCCCUUGCAUUGACUUUACCUGGAAAUCUUUUUCCUUUGAUCUUUGUAUAAUGGUUUCUUUGUCAUUCAUAGAGACUAUUGUCAUUUACCUUGCAAUCACUUGCUAAUCAUAUUACACUGUUUUAAAAAAAAUCUUCACAGCACUUAUUACUAUCCACAGUGAUUUUGUUCAAUUGUUUAUUUACUAAUUCAUUAUCUAUUUCUCUUCCACUUCAUUCCCUGACACUUAUUAGAAUGAAAAAUGGGAUCUUUACAGCACAUGAAAACAUGCCUGGUCACAUAGUAGGCAAUUAGAAAUAUGAAAAGUAGAUGACUGAUGAUUAUAUUUGCCUGAAAACCAGUGAUUUUUCUUUUUUUAAAAAUUUUUAAUCCUUAUUUAUUUUUGAGAGAGAGAGAGCUGUGAGCUGUCAGAGAGAGCUGUCACAGCUGUCAGAGCUAUGAGAGACAGCUCUGAACUGUCAGCACAGAGCCCGACACAGGGCUCUAACUCACGAUCAGUGAGUUCAUGACCUGAGCCGAAGUCGGAUGCUCAACCGACUGAGUUACCCAGGCGCCCCAAACCAGUGAUCUUUCUUAAUCCAAGGAAUUACAUCUAUACUGUACCCUUGUACAUUUAUUUGCUUUCUUCUUUCAUUUGACUAAUGGAAGGCAGGAGGUGUGGUGGGGUGUGUGUGUGUGUGUGUGUGUGUGUCUGUGUGUGUACUUAAAACAAACCUUAUCCGCUCGGCUCCAAAGGGCUUUGGGAGGUGGUUCUCCGGUGACAGGAAUUUCAAGACGAAGCUUGCUUCCUGCUAUUACUGUCACUGUAUUGUCAGCAUCAAGACCAUCCAGGAUGAUCUUAGGAGGAUCUAGAAUGUUAAAUAUGGCCUUUGUUAUCAGACAAUCAUUUCCAUGUGAAUAUCUGGGCCAGUACUUUGCUAGUGGUAAAUAUUGGUAGAACCAACAUUUUAUCUGGCCAAAAAGAAUAUAAGAGGAGUCAAAGUAGUUGGUGCCUGGCACCUUGCAAAGCUACUCCAUUGUAAGACUUCUUAAGAAUCAACUAUUAUGCUUAGUGACUUACACCAAUUCAUGUAUAUCACAGUUUUGAAUGUGUUAUAUUUCCAUGGUAAGCAAAAACAAAAAAACAAGAACACAACUCUGCAAUGAUUUAUCUACUCACCAACAACAUGAACUUUGGCAGGCAAAGUAACAGAGUAGGCAUCUGGUGCAAAUACAUAAUCACCUUCAUCCUCAGUAAGAGCAUUGGCUAUCACUAACUUGUGGAUUCUAAGGAAAUUAGAAAAACAUUUCUAAGAAUUUGCAAAGAUUUAGAUUGUAUAUGGCCCAACUGAAGAGACACCUGGACUUUAUCUGAUUAAGAGAUAAGCCUAUCUCCAGGCUGGAGAGAAAGACAGACCAAGAAACAGAGAGAGAGAAUAUAAAUGCGAAGGCUUAAUUAUCCUAUUUAUGGAUCUUCAUCAAAUAUUCAUUUUUGAGUAUAUGAAAUUAUUUGUACAAAUAUAGCCUGAUUAUUAUGCACACAAGAGUCUAAUAUUCCUUUUUCAUCACAUAGCUUUAAAAAAAGGCUAAAAUACAACAUCUCACUAGUGCCAUAAUUUAAGAUUUAAAAAAUUACCAAGAAUAUUCUUGAUUUUGGCAUUAUAUGCCAAAUCUAAAAGCAGUAGUUCUUAACUUUUUGGGGAUCAGCGAAUAUCUGAUGGACACCAUUGAUCCUUUCUCUGGAGAACAGUAUGUAUUUUUGUACACACAGACUUGGCUUACAACUUCAGAGGAUUUGUGGGACCCCCCUGGAGUACAUUCAUGAUCUUAACCAGAUUCACAACCAGGAUUCCUAGAUCCAAGUUUAAGAACCCUUGCCUUAGAUCUUUGCUAGAUUCUAGGAUAUUAUGUCUGCCCUCCAAAAUUGUGGGAAGGUCAUGUGGCACUUAUCGGUUAGGGACAGUUAAUCCAUUUGAUUGAAUCCAUAGGAUUCAGUAUCAUUCCUUUAACCUUCUGUUUAUAUGGAAAGAAUCAGUUGAUGGCUUGUUUUUCUUUUGCCCCUUUUUUUUGUUGUUGUUCAUUCGUUUGUCAUUGUUCUUUCUUUCUUUCUUUUUUUAAUUUAAUUUUUUAAAAUUUACAUCCAAAUUAGUUAGCAUAUAGUGCAACAAUGAUUUCAGGAGUAGAUUCCUUAAUGCCCCUUACCCAUUUAGCCCAUCCCCCCUCCCACACCCCCUCCAGUAACCCCCUGUUUGUUCUCCAUAUUUAUGAGUCUCAUGUCUUGUCCCCCUCCCUGUUUUUAUAUUAUUUUUGUUUCCCUUCCCUUAUGUUCAUCUGUUUUGUCUCUUAAAGUCCUCCUAUGAGUGAAGUCAUGAUAUUUGUCUUUCUCUGACUAAUUUUACUUAGCAUAAUAUUCUCCAGUUCCAUCCAUGUAGUUGCAAAUGAAAAGAUUUCAUUCUUUUUGAUUGCCAAAGUAAUUCUCCACUGUAUAUAUAUACCACAUAUUCUUUAUCCAUUCAUCCAUCGAUGGACAUUUGGGUUCUUUCCAUACUUUGGCUAUUGUUGAUAGUGCUGCUAUAAACAUUAGGGUGCAUGUGCCCAUUUGAAACAGCAUACCUGUAUCCUUUGGAUAAAUACCUAGUAGUGCAAUUGCUGGGUCAUGGGGUAGUUCUAUUUUUAGCUUUUUGAGGAACCUCCAUACUGUUUUCCAGAGUGGCUGCACCAGCUUGCAUUCCCAAGUUGAUGGCUUUUGAAUAGACAAAGUACCAUACCAUGAGGUGCAGAUAAAGGAUCACUGGUAGGACAUGAUAUAGAACAGAGAAGUCAGACAUUCUUGCUAUUUGGAAGCAAAGAACCAGAAGAAGAUCCUCUCUUUAUGACUACUCUCCAAACUUCCUCACCAAAUAUGUAAUUUAGGAAGUAGAGGAAGAGUGCAUACUGAGACAAGUUACAGAUCGCCUAACUUGCUUACCUUCCUUUGUGAAUGACCUUCAGACGGUCACUUUCUUGAACAGGUAGGCCAUUUUUAGUCCAUUUUCCUGAUAUGUUUUCAGAGAUUUCACACUUCAAGCAGAUUUCUUUUCCAAUGUUUACAGUUUGAUCAGUCAGAGGUGUCAAAAUCUUCAGAGGUUUCACUACAGAAACAAUAUUUAUAAGUGCCAAACCCAAACCCCAGACAGGCCAAGACGGUAUCUUGUUUUGAAAAUGAGAAUUUAUUCCAGUGCAAUUGAUAUAUUGGGGGACAACCAGAACAUAACACAAAUUUUGUGUUUGAUGAUGCAUGAUUUCAUUCAUGAAGAAGAGGAAAUGGCACCCAGGUGAACUGAGCCAGGUAGAACUGUACAAAAUGCACACACGCGUGUGCACACACACAUACACGUCAAACAUCUACCAGCUGCUUGAAUUCACCCAUGCAAUACAAACCAUACUCAUGCACAUCUGAGAUUACCAGUGUCCAUCCAAUUUCAAAUAACCUCUUCUCACCAUGUCACAGUAUCUCAGUAACCACAACACUCCCCACACUGCUUCCACAAGGAAAUUUUAGGUCUCAUUUAACAUAAAGUGCCAUAUUUAUUAACCAUUUGGCCUGUGUAAAACUGUGAUACUGUUUUUUAUUAGGUUCUUAUUGUUUUGUUUUAAUGUGUGGCUGACAAAACUUUUGAGUGUCAUGCCCAUAACUUCAUUUUGCCCAUUAGUUUUGUGGUUUUAUUGCAUAACUUUGUAUAGCAUAUUUAUUUUAGAAAUGCAUAUGUUGUAUUAUAGCAGAACUGACUGUAAUUGCUUUAAAUGGAUACAAAUAUCUGUCCAUGGCUGAAAAAACUGUUUUGGUAUUAAAGGAAAAUGACCACAACUCCGCGAUGCAUAAGGAGUGAGUGUAACUGAGAUAACUUCUGAAUAAUUCAGUGAUCCUAUGAAUCAUAAUUGGACUAAGAAAGAAGUAAGGAAGCAGGAUUUCUGCUCUGCAUGUGUUACUACCAAACUUCCUGUGAGAUUUGCUAUCUUAAUUUCCAUGGCCAGCUGGAAGAGACAGACUCUGCCAUUGAGGAGUGACUACUAUUUGGAGGUAUUUGGGGAAGUACAUAAAUUCUCUCAUGCUUCUGGAUCUUAGUAGCAAAUGGGUUCUUACAAUGUUCUCAUUUGAUCCCCCUUGGUUUGAGUAACUUCCUUCUCACUCCAAAUGUAAUUGCAGAAUGUUGAAUGUUUAUUUAAUGAAUUGAUAGCAAAUUCACUCAUGGGUUACACAAACAUUUUCAGGAUUUUAUAUUGUAUCUAAGUAUUUAUCAUCUACUUAUGUGGUCUUGGGAUUACAGUGCUUCUUAACCAUUUGGACCAUUUCUGUGGCAGGUGAUUUUUAUACUUCCUUCCCAAUCCUGUGUUUUACUAUUAAACUGAGUAGUCGAUUUCUUUUUCAGAGACCCUGACUGAUAUGACAUAGACACUCAGAAUGAAUCCAAUUUUACAUAUUUAAAAUUGCCACCAGUAGAAAUAAAAUAGAUAGAAACUUUCCUAAAAUGGAAUUAACAAAUGCAACACCAGUAGAUACGCAACUUGGAAGAUACCCAAGGAGAUCUUACUUACAGUCAACACUAAGUUUAGCAGAUGAUUGUCCUCCCGUUGUCAUUACAGAAUAUUCUGCACUGUCAGCCUUCGUUGCUCCCUCUAUGAUCAAAAUAUGUUUUUUGCCCUCAACUUUAAUUCGAUAUCUUGAUUUUGGACCAGGAAUAAUCUCCUCACCAUUCUUAAACCUGAGUUUAAAUAGAUUAUAAAAAGUUUUAUAAAAGACCCUUCAGGAAAUGGACCUUAUUGGUCUUGGUUUUGUUUUUUUUUUGCUUGUUUGUUUUUGUUUUUGCUAUAUCCUGGUAUCUAAGAACUAUUUUUUGAAUUAAAGAAUGUACGAUCACUACAUCAAAUGGAUUAAUAAUGUAACAAGGAUUGUCUAAAAAAUUACAUUAAAAGAACAUAAGCUCUUUCUUCUCAUUCAAGAUCAGUUGAAUAUGCUAUGAGAGAAUAUUACCUCUUCCACUCACUAAUAAGAAUUGCAUCACUUAAUAUGUUUUAAAUUUUUUAAUGUUUAUUUUUCAGAGAGACAGAGAGAGAGACAGAGAGAGAGAGAGACAGAGAGGCAGAGAGAGGGAGACAUAGAAUCUGCAGCAGGCUCCAGGCUCUGAGAUGUGAGCACAGAGCCCGAGACAGGACCAACCAUGAGAUCAUGACCUGAGCCAAAGUUGGAUGGUUAACUGGCUAGGCCAUCCAGGCGCCCCUCACUUAACAUGUUUUAAAGAUAGCUAUGAUUCUAGAGUAGAAUGAACAAUCUACUCUGUACCAAUUACCACAGAUUCAUGCUGUGUAAUUUACUAUACUUUUCAACAAAGCAUUUAAUUUUAUUAUGGAUCUCUUAGUUUUAAUUUUGACGUUACUCACAUAGAACUUGAGAAAACACUCUUUAACUGGACAAAAAAAUGAUUUUAUUUUUUAAAAUAAUUGGUGAUCCUUAGCCUAAAACAUUUUUCUGAGGUACUAUAAAAAUAAGGUAACUAGGGAAAAUUUAUAAUAUUUUUCCAUGUAAGUUGCCAGUGUGGCAUGGUGAGAGUAAGCAACUUUUGGAACUUAGGAGCAUCCGUGGGAUUUGGAGUCAAACAGAUCUGGACAACCAUGAGCUAUCCAUUUCUUACUAAGUGCCUACUUCCCUACAUUUACCAGUCUAAUUUUCUGGAUCAUUUUCUAGUUUCAUAGGUGAAAAAACUCCCAGCAUCUUUGUAGUUUUAGUUACCAUUUCUACUAACACAAAUGAGGUUGUGAUUUUUUUCAUAUGUGUAAAAGCCAUUUCCUGUUCUCCAAUCUAUAAAAGCAUAUUUUUAAAAAUCUAUUAAAAAUGGACAGACCUCAGGAAAGUUACUUACCAUUUCACAUUAGCAUCAUCUUCCGACACCUCACAUUCUAAUUCCACUCUUUCCCCGCAGUAAGCAUUCAUAUUUUCCAGCUGUUUGGUUACCAUAAUUGGAGGCUCUGUUUAAAAAAAAAAAAAAAAGGAGAAUCAGAAUCAUUAAAUGCUUGAAAUCUGCUCAUGACCACAGAUUUGUUCACAGAUAAAAGACCAACAGUAAGAAAGUAUCAUCUACCAUAGGGUUAUGGUUAGAUGGUGGUAGAUAGUUGGCAGAUGGUUUUUUGUUUUGUUUUGUUUUAUAUCUUUGUUGGCAAAAUAAAUAGUUAGCAGCCCUGGGUAAGUUUUCCCAAUUUUCUCAGACUCUUCAAAUCAAAUCAAUUAUUGUUCUGGAGAGCAGACAAAACAUGUAUCAAAUAUCCUUCCUUUGGCAAAUAAGAAACCACGUGGUAGACGUUUGUGAUGGAGGAUCUCUAACAGUAUGAUUCUUUGGUUCUGGUUGGAGCUCUGAUUGCAGAGCUCUCUGUAUUCAGAGGGCUUCAUCUACACCCUCCAGCUCUUUUCACAAUGUUUUAGUAAAAGAUUGUCUUCAGCACCCUCGGUGUCAACCAUUGAUUCCCUUUCACUAAUAAAACUGAUUUUGAGAGAAGUGUAUUUGCAAUCAGCUGAAUGUGUGAAAUGAGGAUUAUUCAGUAAAGUUUGUUGGGUUUCAGAAGCUAUAACUAGAAUAAUUAUACUGUUUGCUUGAGUCAAAAACAUGAGGUAUUUAGACUCACCAGUCUUCCCCCCCCCCCUCAGCUUUUCUAGUCUUCAACAAACUUAAAGAUUAAUUAGGAUACGUAAUAACAGCCAGUGUAGAGGAGCUUCCAUGCAGAGCCAGUCUGUCCCCAAGCAAACCCAUUUCUAGGCGUGCUGUUACCUGUGCCCUAGAGCUCAAGAGCUUACCUGUCCCACUCAUUUUGAUAACUACCCUUGGGAGAAGGAGUGCCAAAGGCUGUUGAAGACUACAGUAAGAGAUUGCACUUUACCUCGCACAAACAGCUCGGUGGAACAUUUCUCAUCACCAGCUGUCACAUAAUACUCUGAAUCAUCCGUUAGCGCACAGUUAUUGAUAAACAUGAUUCUUUCACAUCCUUUAUGCUCAAAGAUGUAUCUGUUUGAAAUGGGAGGGAGAUAACAGUCUGUGAACUUGA
rnacentral:lncRNA from 1 species